AGGACGAACGCUGGCGGCGUGCUUAACACAUGCAAGUCGAGCGGAAAGGCCCUUCGGGGUACUCGAGCGGCGAACGGGUGAGUAACACGUGAGUAAUCUGCCCUUGACUCUGGGAUAACUUCGGGAAACCGUGGCUAAUACCGGAUAUGACGCAUGGUCGCAUGGUCUGUGUGUGGAAAGAUUUAUUGGUCAGGGAUGAGCUCGCGGCCUAUCAGCUUGUUGGUGGGGUAAUGGCCUACCAAGGCGACGACGGGUA
rnacentral:rRNA from 1 species